rnacentral:rRNA from 1 species
GACGAACGCUGGCGGCGUGCUUAACACAUGCAAGUCGAACGGAGAGGCCCUGCUUGCAGGGUACUCGAGUGGCGAACGGGUGAGUAACACGUGGGUGAUCUGCCCUGCACUUCGGGAUAAGCCUGGGAAACUGGGUCUAAUACCGGAUAGGAGCCAUUUUUAGUGUGAUGGUUGGAAAGUUUUUUCGGUGUAGGAUGAGCUCGCGGCCUAUCAGCUUGUUGGUGGGGUAAUGGCCUACCAAGGCGGCGACGGGUAGCCGGCCUGAGAGGGUGGACGGCCACAUUGGGACUGAGAUACGGCCCAGACUCCUACGGGGGGCAGCAGUGGGGAAUAUUGCACAAUGGGCGCAAGCCUGAUGCAGCGACGCCGCGUGGGGGAUGACGGCCUUCGGGUUGGAAACUCCUUUCGCUAGGGACGAAGCUUUUUGUGACGGUACCUAGAGAAGAAGCACCGGCUAACUACGUG